GUUCAAUGCGAUGAUUGAAGGUUAUAGUAAACAGAUUGAAAAUGCUAAGAAGGCGAUUGAGGUUUAUAUUGACAUGCAACGUUUCGGUUUUAGGCCUAAUAUUUCUACUUUUGCAAGUAUUAUUGGGGCUUGUUCUGCUCUAGCAGCAUCUGAAAUUGGUCAACAAGUUCAAGGACAGCUGAUGAAGACUGAGUUAAUUGAGCACGUUAAAAUUGCAAGUGCU
rnacentral:misc_RNA from 1 species